rnacentral:rRNA from 1 species
UACAGAGGUCUCAAGCGUUGUUCGGAUUCAUUGGGCGUAAAGGGUGCGUAGGCGGCGCGGUAAGUCGGGUGUGAAAUCUCGGGGCUUAACUCCGAAACUGCAUUCGAUACUGCCGUGCUUGAGGACUGGAGAGGAGACUGGAAUUUACGGUGUAGCGGUGAAAUGCGUAGAGAUGUGGAGGAACACCAGUGGCGAAGGCGACUCUUUGGUCUGUAACUGACGCUGAGGCGCGAAAGCGUGGGGAGCAAACAGG